rnacentral:rRNA from 1 species
GUCCACGCCGUAAACGAUGUCGAUUUGGAGGCUGUGUCCUUGAGACGUGGCUUCCGGAGCUAACGCGUUAAAUCGACCGCCUGGGGAGUACGGCCGCAAGGUCAAAACUCAAAUGAAUUGACGGGGGCCCGCACAAGCGGUGGAGCAUGUGGUUUAAUUCGAUGCAACGCGAAGAACCUUACCUGGCCUUGACAUGUCUGGAAUCCUGUAGAGAUACGGGAGUGCCUUCGGGAAUCAGAACACAGGUGCUGCAUGGCUGUCGU